UACGUAGGGGGCAAGCGUUGUCCGGAUUUAUUGGGCGUAAAGAGCGUGUAGGCGGCUAGGUAGGUCCGUUGUGAAAACUCGAGGCUCAACCUCGAGACGUCGAUGGAAACCAUCUAGCUAGAGUCCGGAAGAGGAGAGUGGAAUUCCUGGUGUAGCGGUAAAAUGCGCAGAUAUCAGGAAGAACACCCGUGGCGAAGGCGGCUCUCUGGUACGUGACUGACGCUGAGACGCGAAAGCGUGGGGAGCGAACAGG
rnacentral:rRNA from 1 species